UUUCCUUAAUUAUUAUUUAUUUUUCCUUUUUUCUAUGUAAUAAGACCAUUUCCUUUGAAAAUUAAAAGCAACUUGAAGGAAUGAGGUUACGAAUCUGUGAUGGAGAAGAUCUUAAUUUAACAUGCUAAUGUGCUAAUCCAAAAGUAAAUGAGGAACUUAGAAAAAGAUUGCCAACUCCAGAUCAACAUAUUUAGAGAAAAUUGGAAAAGGAGAAGCUUACUACAGCUUUAUUUGAGGACUUUUUAAAAGAACGCAGAGUUCUAGCUCUUCAAAUCUUGGAGCAAAAACCAGAGACAUUGCCAGAGCAAACAAGAACAGAAGUAUAAAUGGAGGACUGGUCAAAAGAGAUAGCCCAUAGUUAUCUUGAACAAGAGACUACAGGGAGAAAUAAAAGUACAGAGCCAGAUGAACAGCCAACUGUGAAUUCAAAGGAAGGCAUGCAGCAGAAAUCCAAUGAAUUAGUUAAUGAAGCCACCCAUGAGGACACAGAACUGCCAGGGCAGAGAUCAAGGAAUUUUCCUUAUCCAGGUGAUGAGACAGCUGACUGUACUACUAAAAAAUCCAACAUUAUGGAACAUAGAGAGAAUCAUUUGCAUUGUGAGUGUAUGAUCCCUUGUCAAGUUACUUCAGACUUAGAUAAAGAGAAGAAAAUAGCAUUUCUUCUAAAAGAAUUGGACAUUCUCAGAGCAAGCAAUAAAAAGCUUCAAGAAAAAUUGUAUAAAGAAGAUAAGGAACAGCGAAAACUAAAGCUUAAGCUGGAACUCCAGGAGAAAGCAACAGAAGCUCACAUUGCUGAAAAGACAGCAGCUCUGGUUGAAGAAGUGUAUUUUGCACAGAAGGAACGUGAUGAAGCUAUUAUGUCUCGACUGCGGUUAGCCAAUGAGGAGAGAGAUGAAGCAAUUGCACGAGCCGAGCAUAUGGAAAUGUCUCUAAAAGUGCUAGAAAAUAUUAACCCUGAAGAAAAUGACAUGACAUUACAGGAAUUACUGAACAGAAUAAACAAUGCAGACACAGGAAUAGCUAUUCAGAAGAAUGGAGCUGUAAUUGUGGAUAGAAUCUACAAGACCAAGGAAUGUAAAAAGAGAAUAACUGCAGAAGAAAUGAAUGCAGUGAUAGAAGAGCGGGAUGCUGCUUUGUCUCAGUGCAAACGGCUAGAGCAGGAGCUUCAUCAUCUGAAAGAGCAGAACCAGACUUCAGCAAACAACAUGAGACAUCUGACUGCUGAAAACAAUCAAGAACGUGCUCUGAAGGCAAAGUUGUUGGCUAUGCAACAAGCCAGAGAGACUGCAGUUCAACAGUACAAAAAACUAGAAGAAGAAAUCCAAACACUUCGAGUUUACUACAGUUUACACAAAUCUUUAUCCCAAGAAGAAAAUCUGAAGGAUCAGUUUAACCAUACCCUUAGUACUUAUGAAGAAGCUUUAAAAAAUAGAGAGAACAUUGUUUCCAUCACUCAACAACAGAAUGAGGAACUGUCUACCCAACUGCAGCAAGCUCUGACAGAUCGAGCAAACAUGGAAUUAGAGCUUCAGCAUGCCAUGGAGGCCUCCCAAGCGGCCAAUGACAAAGUGCAGAAGUUGGAAAGGCUGGUGGACGUCCUGAGGAAGAAGGUUGGAACAGGGACCAUGAGGACAGUGAUCUGACUGAAAAAACGGCAGUCUGGGGAAGCAAUCACAUCUGGUGACCAGGCUGCUUCAUUCAACACUGUAUUGAAUAGAUGAGAGGCCAGUAGAAGAUGACUAUGCCUGGAACAGGAUGAAAUAGGCAAGUAGAGAUUGAAUUAGUGAAAAUUUUGUAGGAAAGUGAAAAUUUUUCUAAGGCCAUACAGUAUUAUAAUUGAUCUUUAAGACUGAGCUAAGUUAUCUACCAUUGCUUGUUUUGGGGACAAGAACAGGACAGUUUAUUGCACCAUUCUUUCAUACACCAAUGGAGAUUAUUUGUGUGAUUUUUUUUUUUUUUUACUCUGCACAAAAAUGUAAGGUCCUUUAUCACAGAGUGACAAAAGAAUCAUAAUGUUAACAAACUCAGUUUCCUCCUCAUUAAAUUUAUUAAAUGAACUGGCAGUUAGAACCAUCCCAUUGAGUUCCAAUUCAGAAUUUACUCAUGUUACCUGCUUUUAAUUUUUCUUUAAACUAUUAGAAUUAGAAAAUAAGGAACAACAGGGGUUAGAAUAAGCUAACUGGAUCUCCUCUACAGCCCUAAAGAGAAUUAUAGCUUUUCAUAGGCCAGUGACUAGAUAAAUAGAGAAAUCUGAAAUAAUUUGGUCAGGCCUGGAGUCUUCUCUCUGAGCUCCUUUGUGAAGGAACAGUGCCUUUUAAGUCAUGCAGGUAAGUAAAGAGGAACAGUUCUUGUCACAAGAUAGUCCAUUCCUGAAUCUUCUUCAAAUAAAUCGCAAGUAAACUUGAAUUUUCAGUUUAGUCCUGAAGACGAGACAAAUCUUUCUUGAGUUAUUUUGCUUGGGGUUUUAUAAAACACACUCUAAGCAUAAAGACAUUUUGCAGUUUCCAAACAUCUCUUCCUAUCCCUAACUGAUCAGAUUAGAGCAACCAAUUCCCGUAAUUAAUAUCCAGAACUUUUAAAGAAUUGGGUAUUAUGAAGCUAAGUUUAUAAAACAAUUCUAAUGUUUACUAUUGUGAAUGUAGAUAAUCACUACCAAAACAUCACAUCCCCUUGAAGAUUAGUCCUGUACAAAAUUACAGAUGCUAAGUAUUACAGCCAGAUAUUAUCAAUUGAUUUCUGGCACUUAAAAAUGUGCACCAACAAUGUUUCAAACAGUCUUUACAUUUUUUUGUCUGUGAAAGAAUGGCCCAGCUCACUGAAGAUCAGUUCUCCACAUAUUCGGUAAUAAUGCAAUUUCAGUAGUCCAUGCUGCCCAGAGAUGUUGCUUUGAGUUUGCCUUAAAUAUUAUCAAGUCUAAUUCCUUUGAUAACAUGAGAAUUCACUUACCGUUGUAAAAAUAAGUUCAGAAGAAAAGCAGAAAGAUAAUACAAACAUGUGUAGCACUUGAUUUAUUAUAAAAUCCUUUCACAUCUGUAUUUUUAUUUGAUCCUAUCAACAACCAUAUAGUAGCAAUAAUGGUAAAUUAUAUAUACAUAUAUAUCAACCACAUAAUAAUGAUGAUGGUAAUUGUAGUAGUAUCGUUAUUAUUAUUACAUUUUACAAAGGAGGAAAUAGACUCCGAGGGUCUAGGAGUUUGCCAAGGACCUGUUAGGACUUAUAACUGAGGUCUUAUUACUAACUCCACACAGCCAUACCUCUCUAAACCAUUCUAUAAGAAAAAAAAAAAAAGAAAAUUUUAACUCUUGCAAUUUUUGUUAUUAUUGUGCCAUUUCUCUUCUACACAUACAUAUACAUUUGCUAACAAUGGAGAUGGUAUGCAUUUCUUGCAGUGAAGUGCAAUAAUGUGAACUGCACGGGUAAAUAGCAUCACAUCACCUCUCUAUAGUGUUAUAGUAGCAGCAUACCUUGCCUUAGGCUUCACUCAUUAGGAGUGACAAUUCAUUGUUAGUAAAAAAUAACCUUGAGUUGCUUUGUACUAUUUUUAAUUUGGCCUGACGCUGAAACCUGACAGUGUAGUUUUAUCAAAUGGUGGUAUGAACUUCAGGGCUUACUUUACCUCCUAGAGCAACUAUUAGAGAUAGAACUGGUUAUAGGCAAGUUAUAAGCAAGGUUAUUGAUUAUAAGCAAGGUAUGAGGAGUUAUAGCAAAGUUAUUAGUUAAUUAUUAAUCUAUGAGAAAUUUUAAGUCUACCUUUAUAACUAAGCCAUUACGUUAAAAUUAUUUAAAAUAUUUGAAAUAUUUUAUGUAAUAAAAUAUUUUCCUUAUUCAAUGAGAAAGGUGGUCCUUUGUAUAUAUCCUUAUUCAAAUAGACUGAAGAAUCUUGUCAGUCACUUACUCAUAGAAUUAGUUUACUUCACAAAAAUGUUAGAAUAUUAAAAAUCUGUAGUUUUAAUAUUGGAUAUAGUUGCAUAGAAAAGCAUUUUUAUAUGUAGUAUUUUUAAAGAUCAUAGAUAUUUUUUAAGUUUCUAUUUUCAAAUACUCAUGAUUAAUGAGUCAUUAUAAUGAUAAAAUAACCAUGGCUUACACAUUUUAUCUUCUCACAUAUGGUUUGCAUGGAACCCAGGUUUUUCCUGACAUUAUUUUGUUGUUGAUAACUGUUAUUCACAACUAACCUAUCGAUUGACCUAUUAAUAUCUAUAUACAUGUAUAUAUCUAUAUACUUAGAUGUAUACACACUGACACACACACAAAUACAUUUUCCCUUUUAAAAAUUUGAUUUAUAAGUCCACUGUUAGGCUCCAGUGACUUCAGUAUUUUGUUCAUGUUUUAUUAGAAAUGCACGUGGUUCCUGAGGCUUUUAAACAAAUACAUGGAAUGGUUGAAAGAUUUAUAUUGCUCAUGCUUAGCUAAAUAUGUCAUCUCUAGAAAAGAUGUGGUUUAUUUUGGCACUGUUUUAAAAACUCAAAUAUUUUAAACAUUUGUUAAGUUGGAGCUUGCACAUUUGAACUAGUAGCAUACGUUCCAGAAUAGCUUCUCAAGUUACCAAACUUUUUGUAAUCCUUUUACUAGAAUAACCUUUUUUGAAGGUUUUUUUCUGUUCUUUUUUAUUAUGUACUUUAAGUUAAAUUUAUAGAGGUUGGAGUUAUUAUUUUUAAUGUAGGAUUUCAUAAACAGAAGAGGACAAUGAUGAGUAUUUAUUUUUGAGAAUCAUUAAAAUAUUGUAUACCAUU